rnacentral:lncRNA from 1 species
UCAAUGUGUAGAAUGUGUUUGUUCCUGAGGUCCACACUGGUAAGUGAACAUAUGUAAAUGAGUAGAAUGUGUUUGUUCCAUAAGUGAACAUAUGUAAAUGAGUAGAAUGUGUUUGUUCCAUAAGGGAACAUAUGUAAAUGAGUAGAAUGUGUUUGUUCCAUAAGGGAACAUAUGUAAAUGUGUAGAAUGUGUUUGUUCCAUAAGGGAACAUAUGUAAAUGAGUAGAAUGUGUUUGUUCCGGGGUCCACACUGGUAAGUGAACAUAUGUAAAUGAGUAGAAUGUGUUUGUUCCAUAAGGGAACAUAUGUAAAUGAGACAGUCACAGUGGAUGUUGUUCUGAAUAACUGGUCGGGGUUUAGCAUUUCCCAUUCAGCUUCAGGCUACUUUACACGUAAGACUUGUUCACACCUGUAGUGACGACUUCUAUCUGUCACGCCCGUUGUUGUUAUCCACUGUUCACAUCAACGUAAUUACACCCAACACAAUGUUGAAAAACAGAACGCUUGCCACCACUCGAUCACAUAGACCGUGAGCUGGACUCUGAUCCCAACUCUGCCACCAGUGUAGCGGGAGACGGCGAAAGCUGCAACAGGGACUCUAACCAGGGCUCAUACGUGGCAAAGUGAGUUCUGACGGCCGUUGCCAGGAAAGUCUUGUCGGCCUCUGGGCGGAGGCAGUAGUUCAACAAUGCUGGCAUUUGCCUUGUUUACAACAGCCUAAUUAUAUAACAUGACUGACAGGGCUGCAGUAAUCAUCAUGAAAUGGCCUUGGGAAGUGCCAUAAGUGUAAGACAACAGAAAUCAUUAUUUUAACCUGUUUAACUGCAUUGAUAUGGUUUAAUUGAUCCUAGUCCAGACUUGUUAUUGAUAUGGCUUAAUUUUUUAAAUGUUGUAUUUAUUUAUUUAAUUUAACUAGGCAAGUCAGUUAAGAACAAAUUCUUAUUUUCAAUGACGGCCUAGGAACAGUGGGUUAACUGCCUGUUCAGGGGCAGAACAACAGAUUUUUACCUUGUCAGCUCGGGGGAUAUGGCUUAAUUGAUCCUAGUCCAGACUUGUUAUUGAUAUGGUUUAAUUGAUCCUAGUCCAGACUUGUUAUUGAUAUGGCUUAAUUGAUCCUAGUCCAGACUUGUUAUAGAUAUGGUUUAAUUGAUCCUAGUCCAGACUUGUUAUAGAUAUGGUUUAAUUGAUCCUAGUCCAGACUUGUUAUAGAUAUGUCUUAAUUGAUCCUAGUCCAGACUUGUUAUAGAUAUGGCUUAAUUGAUCCUAGUCCAGACUUGUUAUAGAUAUGGCUUAAUUGAUCCUAGUCCAGACUUGUUAUAGGUUAUGGUUUAAUUGAUCCUAGUCCAGACUUGUUAUUGAUAUGGCUUAAUUGAUCAUAGUCCAGACUUGUUAUUGAUAUGGCUUAAUUGAUAGUCCAGACUUGUUAUUGAUAUGGCUUAAUUGAUCCUAGUCCAGACUUGUUAUAGAUAUGGUUUAAUUGAUCCUAGUCCAGACUUGUUAUUGAUAUGGCUUAAUUGAUCCUAGUCCAGACUUGUUAUUGAUAUGGCUUAAAUGAUAGUCCAGACCUGUUAUUGAUAUGGCUUAAUUGAUAGUCCAGACUUGUUAUUGAUAUGGCUUAAUUGAUCCUAGUCCAGACUUGUUAUAGAUAUGGUUUAAUUGAUCCUAGUCCAGACUUGUUAUUGAUAUGGCUUAAUUGAUCCUAGUCCAGACUUGUUAUUGAUAUGGCUUAAAUGAUAGUCCAGACCUGUUAUUGAUAUGGCUUAAUUGAUAGUCCAGACUUGUUAUUGAUAUGGCUUAAUUGAUCCUAGUCCAGACUUGUUAUAGAUAUGGUUUAAUUGAUCCUAGUCCAGACUUGUUAUAGAUAUGGUUUAAUUGAUCCUAGUCCAGACUUGUUAUAGAUAUGGUUUAAUUGAUCCUAGUCCAGACUUGUUAUAGAUAUGGUUUAAUUGAUCCUAGUCCAGACUUGUUAUAGAUAUGGUUUAAUUGAUCCUAGUCCAGACUUGUUAUAGAUAUGGUUUAAUUGAUCCUAGUCCAGACUUGUUAUAGAUAUGGUUUAAUUGAUCCUAGUCCAGACUUGUUAUAGAUAUGUCUUAAUUGAUCCUAGUCCAGACUUGUUAUUGAUAUGGUUUAAUUGAUCCUAGUCCAGACUUGUUAUUGAUAUGGCUUAAUUGAUCCUAGUCCAGACUUGUUAUAGAUAUGGUUUAAUUGAUCCUAGUCCAGACUUGUUAUAGAUAUGGUUUAAUUGAUCCUAGUCCAGACUUGUUAUAGAUAUGUCUUAAUUGAUCCUAGUCCAGACUUGUUAUAGAUAUGGUUUAAUUGAUCCUAGUCCAGACUUGUUAUAGAUAUGUCUUAAUUGAUCCUAGUCCAGACUUGUUAUAGAUAUGGUUUAAUUGAUCCUAGUCCAGACUUGUUAUAGAUAUGGUUUAAUUGAUCCUAGUCCAGACUUGUUAUAGAUAUGCCUUAAUUGAUCCUAGUCCAGACUUGUUAUAGAUAUGGUUUAAUUGAUCCUAGUCUAGACUUGUUAUAGAUAUGGUUUAAUUGAUCCUAGUCCAGACUUGUUAUUGAUAUGGUUUAAUUGAUCCUAGUCCAGACUUGUUAUAGAUAUGGUUUAAUUGAUCCUAGUCCAGACUUGUUAUUGAUAUGGCUUAAUUGAUCCUAGUCCAGACUUGUUAUAGAUAUGGUUUAAUUGAUCCUAGUCCAGACUUGUUAUAGAUAUGGUUUAAUUGAUCCUAGUCCAGACUUGUUAUAGAUAUGUCUUAAUUGAUCCUAGUCCAGACUUGUUAUAGAUAUGGUUUAAUUGAUCCUAGUCCAGACUUGUUAUAGAUAUGGUUUAAUUGAUCCUAGUCCAGACUUGUUAUAGUUGCACCGGGGGAAUUGAAACCAAACAGAUUAUUUUUUACAGGCCUUCUGUUUUAACUAUGCCUAGUUAAAUAAAAGGUGAAAUCAAAUAAAAUUCCUCACAUUUAUUGAUGAAUUUAUUUCCCAUCACGAACAUGUAUCCCCAUUUCCCAAUCAAAUACCUUCAUCGAUACCACACAAAACCCCCCAGACAAAAACAGUUUUUUACUCCAAUCUGGCAACCCUCAUAAAAUCCGACACAGCACCAGUAUCCCAAAGUGUUAAGUGAAAACAAGCAUAGAAAACAGUAUCGGCAUUAAUAAUAAUAAUAAUAAUAAUAAUAACAACAACAACAACAACAACAACAAUAAUAGUAAAACAGCGUAAGGAUAAUAUUAUAUUAUAAUUAUUUAGGUCACGACCUGGUUGAUUAACAUUAUUGGGUCGUUAAGACGUUUGUUUUUUAUAUAAAUAAUUGUGGGACACUAAAAAAGGCCGUGUAGAACUCCAUUACCCAAACUCCAUUGCUCCUAUAACUUUCAAAAAACUACUCUGAAAAUGUGUGUAUUUUCACACAAAUUAAGCCACACAAAAAACUUACAAAAACGCACCAAAAUCUGCUGAAAUACUUUUUUGUACAUAUUUGCAGGAAUAGAGUGUGAGGUUGUGUUGACACAACAAGUCAGGUACAAAAUGUUACCACUUGAUCUGUGCUUCGCUCCAAAACCGAUUGAAUUGGCCUCAAUAUUAGUUUAAAAAAACAUAUAUUAUCAACUGUUACUAAUGAUCCUCAACAACAACGACAUGGCAGUGAGUGUGUUUACAGAGGAAGCAAAUGAAGACUAAAUGAAGACACUGUUAUUAAAUGGAAUGGUGAUGUAGACUAUACCAACCGAAGGGAACUCACAGUAUAUUGGCUUAUUAGACCUACUGACAGUCCAUACUGGUAGAAUGAAGACACUGUUACUAAAUGGCAUGGUGACUAUACCAACCGAAGGGAACUCACAGUAUAUUGGAUUAUUAGACCUACUGACAGUCCAUACUGGUAGUGGUUAGUAUUUAACAUGAUAGAAGCAGGAAACAGAGAAUGUCAGGGCAGUCUAUAAUUAAACAAUAAGGCCCGAGGAGGUGUGGUAUAUUGCCAACAUAUCACGGCUAAAGGGCUGUUCUUAAGCACGACACAACGCGGAGUACCUGGACACAGCCCUUAGCCGUGGUUUAUUGGCCAUAUAUCACAAACCCCUGAGGUUCCUUAUUUCUAUUAUAAACUGGUUACCAACUUAAUUAGAGUAGUAAAAAUAAAUGUUUAGUCAUACCCGUGGUAUACGGCCUGAUAUACCAUGGCUUUCAGCCAAUCAGAAUUCAGGGCUUAAACCACCCAGUUUAUAAUGAACCCUUACAGAUCCACUGAACACUCCGAUUGGCAUUUUCUGUUCCUCAUUAGAAAAACUAGAUUUUUUUCCCUGACCGAUUCUGCGUUUGGUUAGUGAUGUUUGUCCCUCACGAGACACCGUAGCCUAUUUGUCAAUGAUUUUUUUUUGUUGUUGUUGCGCAAUUUUACAUCUAACUAAGGUGUUUGCUAUGUGUUGUCUGAUGUACACAGUCGGAGCUGCUGAACAGGUCUGUCACACUGCCAGUGCUAUUGGAUAGAGAGCGAUCACGGCAGCUGUUCAGCCCAUGUUAAUGGGCAAAAGGACAUCAGCAAAUCAAAACCCAGCCUUCAUUUACCCAUUGUGAUGCGUGAAUGUUCCAAACUCCAUUUUAGACGAGACUGACUUCACGAGUCUUUGGAGUCAAUUGUGACACUAGAAUAAGUGUUUCUGACUCAUAUGGACACCCCAUAGGCCGUUUUCAAAGGGAUUUGUUGCCUUUCAAAGGCUGUCGCUCUGUAACUCUCAGACCAGACACCUACUCCAUAUGACAGGGAGACAACUCCCAAGCACCUAACCCCCCCCUAAUGACAUCACACACCUCAUCUCUAUCUUGCUCA